UUCAGUGGCCACACCUGUUUGCGAGUGCCCAAUAGUGUCAACUCUUGGAAGCUAAGUAGGGUUGUGCUUGGUUAGUACUUGGAUGGGAGGACACCUUGGAAGACCAGGUGCUGCUAGCC
rnacentral:rRNA from 12 species